rnacentral:lncRNA from 1 species
GCCGGCACUUUUCUCAGGACUGGAGAGCUCAGGCAGCCCAGGACGAAUAGUGCAGUCACCGCAGACGGGCAGGGUGGCCACAAGGUUUGGCUAUCCGUCCCAAGCGCUGGACCACAAAAAUAUGGAGAUGGACCAAAAUUUGGCGUGCAGGAAAUAAAGGAUAGCCGAAGGCCAUCCACACAGUCACUCCGUUUCUGCCCUCCAAGACAACAAGGUCCAAGACAACAAGGUCACA